rnacentral:RNase_P_RNA from 1 species
AAAGUUUGACGAACAAUCGCUGGAGAUUAUAUCUCGAGAGGAAAGUCCGGGCUCCACAGGGCAGGGUGCUGGAUAACGUCCAGUCAGCGCGAGUUGAAGGAUAGUGCCACAGAAAUGGACCGCCGAUGGCAUACCUAUGUAUGCACAGGUAAGGGUGGAACCGUGGUGUAAGAGACCACGAGGAUUUAUGGUGACAUAUUUCCUGGUAAACCCCACUUGGAGCAAGACCUAAUGAAACGCAGUGAUGACUAUCACAACCUUAGCCCGAGGUGCGUUUAGGUUGGUCGCUUGAGCUGUAUAGUAAUAUACAGCCUAGAUAGAUGAUUGUUACUUCAUUGGUGGGAGGGGUGACACCCGUUAAUACCACUGGAAGGUACAGAACCCGGCUUAUGGCAAACUUUCUAA